CUUAAACCAUAAGAAGAACCAUUCUCUAACUAUUGAAUAUAAAAUAUAUAACGUCGUUCUCUUAUAGCUUAAAUUUUCAGAGAUAAAUGAUUAUUUUAUAUAAUUUAAUACAGUGUCAGUGCAGUGGGUCAUGAAUUCGAAACCCGCAAAACUCAUAGCAUUAUUUAGUUUUCUCCAGUUUUUAUUAAGUCUACGUUUUGAGUCUAUUAAAAAGUUUCGAGUCCAAAUAAGAAGAGGCUUCUUAUUUUGCAGAUAAAUAAAUAUAUUUUAUAUAAUUUAACACUCACCAUAAUCAAGUCAUAUUAUUUUAAUAUAUAGAACUC
rnacentral:lncRNA from 1 species